UUGGCCCAGUGGUCUUCCCAUUCAGAAACUUAGAAACCCUAAAGCAGGAUCUCUCUCUCAGUGCACUAGCAGCCCCUCAUCUCCGCCGGCAGAACCCAAGGCUACAAUCUCACCACUCGACUUCUCCGGCACAGAUCGCCGUCAAUGGUGUCGCCGGUGACUUCUCAGGCCCUUCCUCCAUUUCAGUUCGCACGCCACCACCCCAUCCGACCAGUCACCGUCGUUUGAGCGAGCCUAGCCGCCGCGAGUCGCAGCCAAAGCACCACCAACACCAUGGGUCACGGCCAAGGUCGCCGCCGGUUACCCUCGGCCG
rnacentral:lncRNA from 1 species